ensembl:snRNA U6 U6 spliceosomal RNA
GUGCUCGCCCCAGCAGCACGUAUACUAAAAUUGGAACCACACAGAGAAGAUCAGCAUGGCCCCUGCCCAAGGAUGACACGCAAAUUCAUGAAGCAUUCUAUAUUUUU